AUGACUGACACUGAGUCUCCUGGAUCCACAGAUCAUGCACAGCAGAAGAGCAGGUUUCUCCCACCUCACCCUCCCUAUGUGCCUCUGUCUUGACCACGUGGGACCACUGCUGUGGGGUAGAGGGCUAGAUUUGUCCUCCACAGCAAAUCUUGAGCUUUU
rnacentral:sRNA from 1 species